UUGGAGGGCAAGUCUGGUGCCAGCAGCCGCGGUAAUUCCAGCUCCAAUAGCGUAUAUUAAAGUUGUUGCAGUUAAAAAGCUCGUAGUUGAAUUUCGGGGUUCCACCGUUGGUCGGGCUAUUGUUUGUACUGGCGUGUGGAAUUUCUACCUUCUGGGGAACUAUCAUGUUAUUAAUUUAGCGUGGUAGGAAACCAGGACCUUUACCUUGAAAAAAUUAGAGUGUUCAAAGCAGGCUUAUGUCUGAAUACAUUAGCAUGGAAUAAUAAAAUAGGACGGUGGUCCUGUUUUGUUGGUUUCUGAAUCACCGUAAUGAUUAAUAGGGAUAGUUGGGGGCAUUAGUAUUCAAUUGUCAGAGGUGAAAUUCUUGGAUUUAUUGAAGACUAACUACUGCGAAAGCAUUUGCCAAGGAUGUUUUCAUUAAUCAAGAACGAAAGUUAGGGGAUCGAAGACGAUCAGAUACCGUCGUAGUCUUAACCAUAAACUAUGCCGACUAGGGAUCGGACGAUGUUAACUUUUCUUGACUCGUUCGGCGCCUUACGGGAAA
rnacentral:rRNA from 1 species